AUGGAGCAUGAAUCUCGAAGGAAACGGAGCAAGUUGUGUUUUGGAAAGGGAAAAGAUUCUAGUUCUCUCUCUUCUUUUACUGUUUCCAUUUCCAUUUGCAAAGCUUUGUAUACCGCAUCAACACCAGCGCAUGUUCUCUCUGUGAACCAAGCAAGGCUUCUUUUCUCCUCUGUUGCAGUUGCAAGGAUUCUUUUGAAUGCUAUAGCCAUGGUAGAUUUUGAUCAAGAAAAUGGUGAGGUCACUAAAGACUUGCUUAAAUAA